rnacentral:rRNA from 1 species
GACGAACGCUGGCGGCGUGCUUAACACAUGCAAGUCGAACGGUAAGGCCCUUCGGGGUACACGAGUGGCGAACGGGUGAGUAACACGUGGGUGAUCUGCCCUGCACUUCGGGAUAAGCCUGGGAAACUGGGUCUAAUACCGGAUAGGACUCCGGACUGCAUGGUCUGGGGUGGAAAGCUUUUGCGGUGUGGGAUGGGCCCGCGGCCUAUCAGCUUGUUGGUGGGGUGAUGGCCUACCAAGGCGACGACGGGUAGCCGGCCUGAGAGGGUGACCGGCCACACUGGGACUGAGAUACCGCCCAGACUCCUAGGGGAGGCAGCAGUGGGCAAUAUUGCACAAUGGGCGCAAGCCUGAUGCAGCGACGCCGCGUGAGGGAUGGCGGCCUUCGGGUUGUAAACCUCUUUCAGCAUCGACGAAGCGAAAGUGACGGUAGGUGCAGAGGAAGGACCGGCCAACUACGUGCCAGCCGCCGCCGUAA